UUUUUUGUUGAUUUAAUCAUUUUUGUUGUUGGAUUUUGAAUAAUUUAAUUUAAUUUUUGUUGAUAAAGGUCAGCUGAUGUUGGUGAAUUUGUGUUGUUUUUCUGCGAUCUCGAUUGGUGAAGUUGAGAAAAUUUGGAACAUUGGUGAAUGGGUGGGGAAUUUGUGUGAAGUUUUGUAGAGGUUUUUGGGUGUGUGAAAAGUGAAAAAUCUUUGAAUUUUUAGUUUUUUUUUUGUUGGAUUGGAGUAUUUAUUUGAAUUAUUUCUGGUUGGAGUAGAGAUGGAAGGAAGGGGAUAGGUUUAGGGUUUGAUGGUGGAAUAGAAAUGAUGGAGGAAACUGAUCUUGAAUAAGGAGAGGCUUACAGUUAUGAUAAUUAUAAGAAGAAUGAUUCAACCAUUGACCUUGAUGUUUCUCUAUCUUACCUUGUGAGUUUUCUUAUUUAUUUAUUUUUUGUUUAGUUGUGUUGAUUAUCACUGUUAUGGAUUUACAAUUGAGAUUGAACCACUUUUCUUUUAAGUUCAAUUGCAAUUGGUUCAUUUUGUGUAUUUUUUGAUUUUCUAGUUUGCUAGCAUGUAGCAUAUGUUGUUUGAUCAAUCUAUGUACUGUUUGUUGUGUAUGUCUCCGUUUGCUUGAUAUAAUUGACUGUAUAAAAUCAAAUCUUAAUAAGAGGCCUUAUCAUGUCGAGAGAAACUUGAUAACGAGAAACCCUGCGUUUUCUCAUUCUAUAAAACCAAAUUUUAAUAAGAGGCCUUAUCAAGUAUACUGUGAUGUUAGAGAAACCCUGUGUUUUCUCAUUCUAUUUUUUGCUUAUAACUUCUCUAUCUAGAGUUUGUUUAGGGGCUAGUUAGUGAGUCGGUGUAAGUAUUCUGGCAGGUGUUGUGUAUUAGUGAUAACAGCAUUACGACCUCUGAUAGCAACUCUCUUCCAGUUUCUCAUAUAUCUAUCUCUUACUCUGUCAAAGAUGAGAAACUUUACAAUGUUUUGGGACAUUUUCAAAGCGAUUUUAACAGUGACAAGGCUUAUCCCAUGAGUUGAUGAUUGUUGACUUUGCAUAUAUUUACAGGGUCGUGAUUUGGCGGGUAUGGUUCGUUUUUACCUACUUAUCAGAUUUCUCCUUCUUGGUCUCAUCUGAGGACUCCACAAGAGGCCAACAAAAAUAGCAGACAAGUAUCACCAAACAAUCUGCUCCCUGAGGGUGGUCGACAAACCACGUUAGGAUCUUCAAGCACUUCUCUGUCAGGAAGGUUUGCAACAUCUUCUGCCCGCUCAGCAGCAGUAUCUGCACUUAUCCCCCCCCCCCCUCUCAGACGAGUUGAUUAGAUCGUAUGUGUGUCUUAAGAUUAGGUGUUCUGCGAAAAUACAGCUUCUUGGAUGAAAACUAAGGAUCCCUACCUUUGCAUAUGAAUAAGUUGAACUUUUGGACUUA